CGGGUGAGUAACGCGUGGAUAACCUGCCUCACACUGGGGAUAACAGUUAGAAAUGACUGCUAAUACCGCAUAAGCGCACAGUGCCGCAUGGUACGGUGUGAAAAACUCCGGUGGUGUGAGAUGGAUCCGCGUCUGAUUAGCCAGUUGGCGGGGUAACGGCCCACCAAAGCGACGAUCAGUAGCCGACCUGAGAGGGUGACCGGCCACAUUGGGACUGAGACACGGCCCAA
rnacentral:rRNA from 1 species